UUAUUUGAUUGGAAGAUCGGAGAGAAGCAAUUAGUCAUGGGAUAUCAUGAUUCCAGCCCAUCUGAUGAAGUCAUGUUAACAUCUGUCAAUGAGAAGAGUCUUGUGACAUCCUUUAACAUGGAUGCAGUCUCCAUGUGGACCCAUGGCCGGCUGAACAAGCAACCCAAACAUCCUGGAGUCUUGGGUCUCAGGCCGUUUUGCAGAUUCAUAUUCGUCCUGUAAGACUUGGCUCCUACGCGCCCUUCUGCAAUGUCUUCUCCACCCUAUAAAAAUAGGACUGCAGGCGUGGGGCUGGUGGGCAACAGUCACAGGCAGAAGGACGUCACCUCAUCACGUGGUAUCGACUGAGCUUGGCAUUUGGCUGGUCUAUUUGCUAUGAAAGUUGCAGAAGGGAGUCGCAAUUGGCUGAGAUGUAGAACAGCAUGUGGUCCUUGUAGGGAAAGUACCAGGUAGAUUCCAUUAAUUUUAAAAUAUUCUGCCUUAUGAUAACAUAUCCUGGUAUUUGCUGUAUCUAAAAUAGACUGA